rnacentral:ncRNA from 1 species
UGGUCCCUGCCUGACCGAAUGCUGACGUGAUGCGUCAGCGGCUUAUGUAGGUCUGGUGGGGUCCG